rnacentral:rRNA from 1 species
UACGUAGGGUGCGAGCGUUGUCCGGAAUUAUUGGGCGUAAAGAGCUCGUAGGCGGUGUGUCACGUCGGCCGUGAAAACCUGCAGCUUAACUGUGGGCGUGCGCUCGAUACGGGCAUCACUGGAGUUCGGCAGGGGAGACUGGAAUUCCUGGUGUAGCGGUGAAAUGCGCAGAUAUCAGGAGGAACACCGGUGGCGAAGGCGGCUCUCUGGGACGGUACUGACGCUGAGACGCGAAAGCGUGGGGAGCGAACAGG